GACGGAGGGUGCUAGCGUUGUUCGGAAUUACUGGGCGUAAAGGGCUCGUAGGUGGCCAACUAAGUCAGACGUGAAAUCCCUCGGCUUAACCGGGGAACUGCGUCUGAUACUGGAUGGCUUGAGUUCGGGAGAGGGAUGCGGAAUUCCCGGUGUAGCGGUGAAAUGCGUAGAUAUCUGGAGGAACACCGGUGGCGAAGGCGGCAUCCUGGACCGACACUGACGCUGAGGAGCGAAAGCGAGGGGAUCAAACGGG
rnacentral:rRNA from 1 species